CCUACGGGAGGCUGCAGUGAGGAAUAUUGGUCAAUGGACGCAAGUCUGAACCAGCCAUGCCGCGUGCAGGAAGACGGCUCUAUGAGUUGUAAACUGCUUUUGUACGAGGGUAAAUCCCGAUACGUGUAUUGGGUUGCAAGUAUCGUACGAAUAAGGAUCGGCUAAGUCCGUGCCAGCAGCCGCGGUAAUACGGAGGAUUCAAGCGUUAUCCGGAUUUAUUGGGUUUAAAGGGUGCGUAGGCGGUUCGAUAAGUUAGAGGUGAAAGCCCGGGGCUCAACGCCGGCACUGCCUCGGAUACUGUCGGGCUAGAGUUUAGUUGCGGUAGGCGGAAUGUAUGGUGUAGCGGUGAAAUGCAUAGAGAUCAUACAGAACACCGAUUGCGAAGGCAGCUUACCAAACUACGACUGACGUUGAGGCACGAAAGCGUGGGGAGCAAACAGGAUUAGAUACCCGUGUAGUC
rnacentral:rRNA from 1 species